rnacentral:rRNA from 1 species
GUCCACGCCCUAAACGUUGGGCACUAAGUGUGGGGGGUAACCUCCCGUGCCGUAGCUAACGUAUUAAGUGCCCCGCCUGGGAGUACGGCCGCAAGGUUAAAACUCAAAGAAAUUGACGGGGCCCGCACAAGCGGUGGAGCAUGUGGUUUAAUUCGACGCAACGCGAAAAACCUUACCUGGGCUUGACAUCCCAAGAAGUCCCCUGGAAACCGGGAUGUGCCUCGCAAGAGGAGCUUGGAGACAGGUGCUGCAUGGCUGUCGU